AUGCGGAGGGGGUUAGCGUUGUUCGGAAUUACUGGGCGUAAAGCGCACGUAGGCGGACUGGAAAGUUGGGGGUGAAAUCCCGGGGCUCAACCCCGGAACUGCCUCCAAAACUUCCAAUCUAGAGAUCGAGAGAGGUGAGUGGAAUUCCAAGUGUAGAGGUGAAAUUCGUAGAUAUUUGGAGGAACACCAGUGGCGAAGGCGGCUCACUGGCUCGAUACUGACGCUGAGGUGCGAAAGCGUGGGGAGCAAACAGGAUUAAAAACCCUAGUAGUCC
rnacentral:rRNA from 1 species